AUUGAACGCUGGCGGCAGGCCUAACACAUGCAAGUCGAGCGAGCGGCGGACGGGUGAGUAAUGUAUGGGGACUGCCCGAUAGAGGGGGAUAACUACUGGAAACGGUGGCUAAUACCGCAUACUAUCGGAUAACCCAUAUGGGAUUAGCUAGUUGGUGGGGUAAAGGCUCACCUAGGCGACGAUCUCUAGCUGGGCUGAGAGGAUGAUCGGCACCUGUGGAACUGGAACACGGCCCAGACUCCAACGGAGUCGACGGUGGGGAAUGGUGGACAAUGGGCGAAGGCCUGAUGCGGACAUGCCGCGUAUAGGAGGAGGGCCUUAGGGUGUUAAUGUACGUUCAGCGGGGAGGCGUUACCCGAAGAAGAAGCACCGGCUAACUCCGUGCCAGCAGCCGCGGUAAUAC
rnacentral:rRNA from 1 species